GUGAACACUUGUACAAUGGAUCUUCAUUCAGUUAUUCUGUUUUGUGCCUCAGCAGCUGCGGUCUUUGGAAAUGUCAUCAAACCAAACAACACCGAUGUUGUUUAUAAGGAGGGUUCAAGUGUUACAUUAUUCUGUAGUCAUUCACCUGCAGCUAACGAUUAUAUCCACUGGUACCGUCAGUAUGAAAGAUCAAAACCUGAAUUUCUUGUACUCAUCUACAGUAGUGCAAAAGAAGCUGAGGUGUCUGAUGUAGAUCCAAGAUUCUUUGUUAAUGUUGAAAAAAGGGAGAAAAUCCAUGUGGAUCUGAAGAUCACCACUGCUGCUGUAUCAGACUCUGCUCUGUACUAUUGUGCUCUG